rnacentral:rRNA from 1 species
UGGGGAAUAUUGGACAAUGGGCGCAAGCCUGAUCCAGCCAUGCCGCGUGAGUGAUGAAGGCCCUAGGGUUGUAAAGCUCUUUCACCGGAGAAGAUAAUGACGGUAUCCGGAGAAGAAGCCCCGCUACAUUCGUGCCAGCAGCCGCGGUAAUACGAAGGGGCGUAGCGUUGUUCGGAAUUACUGGGCGUAAAGCGCACGUAGGCGGACAUUUAAGUCAGGGGUGAAAUCCCGGGGCUCAACCCCGGCAACGUAGCCUUUGAC